UCUUCCCUAAGCGAGUCAAUCCUAGCGCUCUUUAGGAUAUUAAUAAUUAAAGAGGAAUUUAUUUAAAUUUUUUUGGUGAAACUCUCAUAUUUUUUGGAUCAAUAUUAAAAUUAAUAUGAAUUAAUAAAAAUCAAAUGAAAUAAAAUAAAAAUCAAAAAAUCAAAAAAACGUGGACCACUUGAUCUCCCUCAUUAAUUGAGGUGGCAGAUCAAGUGGAUGGAAACACGUGUUCCAUGGUGGAAGUUAGUCAGCGCGCCACACGCGUGGUAAUCACAACCAAC
rnacentral:lncRNA from 1 species